rnacentral:snRNA from 1 species
AUACUUACCUGGCUGGGGAGACACCAUGAUCACGAAGGUGGUUUUCCCAGGUCGAGUCUUAUCCAUUACACUCCCGAUGUACCGACCCCUGCAAUUUCCCCAAAUGUGGGAAAUUUGCGUAAUUUGUGGUAGUGGGGACUGCAUUCACGUCCCGCUCCCUG